rnacentral:rRNA from 1 species
UGGGGAAUUUUCCGCAAUGGGCGAAAGCCUGACGGAGCAAUACCGCGUGAGGGAAGAAGGCUUUUGGGUUGUAAACCUCUUUUGUCAGGGAAGAAGAAUUGACGGUACCUGAAGAAAAAGCAUCGGCUAACUCCGUGCCAGCAGCCGCGGUAAUACGGAGGAUGCAAGCGUUAUCCGGAAUCAUUGGGCGUAAAGGGUCCGCAGGUGGCGAAUAAAGUCUGCUGUUAAAGACCGGGGCUAAACUCCGGAAAGGCAGUGGAAACUGAUUAGCUAGAGUACGGUAGGGGUAGAGGGAAUUCCCAGUGUAGCGGUGAAAUGCGUAGAUAUUGGGAAGAACACCGGUGGCGAAAGCGCUCUACUAGGCCGAAACUGACACUGAGGGACGAAAGCUA